rnacentral:rRNA from 1 species
UACGUAGGGGGCAAGCGUUGUCCGGAUUUAUUGGGCGUAAAGAGCGUGUAGGCGGCCUGACAGGUCUGCUGUGAAAACUCGAGGCUCAACCUCGAGAUGUCGGCGGAAACCGUCUGGCUAGAGUCCGGAAGAGGAGAGUGGAAUUCCUGGUGUAGCGGUGAAAUGCGCAGAUAUCAGGAAGGACACCUAUGGCGAAGGCAGCUCUCUGGGACGGUACUGACGCUGAGACGCGAAAGCGUGGGGAGCGAACAGG